rnacentral:lncRNA from 1 species
UUUGUUAUUUAUUUUUUCCAAAAAUCAUUUCUAGGUACAUAAGUAUCUAUUAAAUUAGAGAAACAUCAAAAGUUUUCAAAGAUUCAACCACUAGCUAGGAACGGCCAAGCCUGCCGUUUUGACCGCAUUUUGAAACGGGCAUAAAAAAUUAAAAAUAAUCAAAAAAAUUGGAAAACCUUCGCAUUGUGUCAUUCUAUGUGACCAAGUUUCCAGAAAAAAUAAUAAACUUGUAAUACGGAAAUUAUUUUAGAAAAAUGUUCUCAUAAAUGAGCUAUCAUGUGGGAAGAUUCAUGGAUUUCAACCCAAACGCUCAAUCUCAUGGCCACAUUCAUGGUAUAGUUUGUUCAAAUGAUCUCAUAUUGUGCACAAGGGUGCAUCUUGGAAUUCCAAACAAUGUUGCCGAAGGGAGUUUUCAUUUUAUUUGCACGGAAAAUUCAUUUUCCAUUUUUUGAGUUCCCGAAAUGAGGUUUUUUUGUGAAGGACCCACCAUAUAUUUGUUGCUAAGUUGUACCAAAUCAUUUUUAUAAAAUACUAGGACAUAUUUAAUGCACAGUUGACAAAAUGGUUGGGUGUCAAAAUUUUUGAUCCACUUCUGGUGAAAAAGACAAAUUCCCGCCGAUUCAGCUGGAAGCAGGUCAAAUUUGAACUGUAGUUGCCUCAUAGUUUGCUCUUUAUUUUUUCCAAAAAUCAUUUCUAGGUAAAUAAGUAUCUUUUUAAUCAGAGAAGCACCAAAAGUUUUCCAAGAUUCAACCACUAGCUAGGAACGGUCAUGCCCGCCGUUUUGACCGCAUUUUGAAACGGGCAUGAAAAAUUCAAAAAAAACAAAAAAAUGGAAAACCUUCGCGUUGUGUCAUUAUAUGUGGCCAAGUUACCAGAAAAAAUAAUAAACUUGUAAUACGAUAAUUCUUUUCAAAAAUGUUCUCAUAAACGAGCUAUCAUGUGUGGAGAUCAAUGGCAUUCAAACCAAAUGAUCAAUCUUAUGGCCACAUUCAUGACAUAGUUUCUUAAAAUGAUCUCAUAUAGUGCACAAGGGUGCAUAUUGGAAUGGCAAACAAUGUUGCCAAAGGAAGUUUUCAUUUUCUUUGAUCGAAAAAAUCAUUUUCCAUUUUUCGAGAGCCCAAAAUGAGGUUUUUUGUGAAGGACCUACCAUAUAUUUGUUGCAAAAUUGUACCAAAUCAUUUUUCUAAAAUAUUAGGACAUAUUUAAUGCACAUAUGACCAAAUGAUUGGGUGUCAAAAGAUUUGAUCCACCUCUGGUGAAAAAGACAAACUUUUGUCGAUUCAGCAUGAAGCGGGUCAAAUUUGAACUACAGCUGCCUCAUAGUUCGCUCUUUAUUUUUACCAAAAAUCAUUUUAUGUACAUAAGUAUCUAUUUAAUCAAAGAAACACCAAAAAAAAUCCAAGAUUCAACCACUAGCUAGGAACGGUCAUUCCCGUCGUUUUGACCGCAUUUUGAAACGGGCAUAAAAAUUCAAAACAAAUCAAAAAAUUGGAAAACCUUCGCAUUGUGUCAUUAUAUGUGACCAAGUUUCCAGGAAAAAUAGUAAACUUGUAAUACGAAAAUUAUUUUAGAAAAGUAUUCUCAUAAAUGAGCUAUCAUGUGUGAAGAUUCAUGGAUUUCAACCCAAACGCUCAAUCUCAUGGCCACAUUCAUGGCAUAGUUUGUUCAAAUGAUCUCAUAUUGUGCACAAGGGUGCAUCUUGGAAUUCCAAACAAUGUUGCCAAAGGGAUUUUUCAUUUUCUUUGCACGGAAAAUUCAUUUUCCAUUUUUCGAGUGCCCGAAAUGAGGUUUUUUUUGUGAAGGACCUACCAUAUAUUUGUUGCAAAAUUAUACCAAAUCAUUUUUAUCAAAUACUAGGACAUAUUUAAUGCACAAUGGACAAAAUGGUUGGGUGUCAAAAGUUUUGAUCCACCUCUGGUGAAAAAGACAAGUUCCCGCCGAUUUAGCUGGAAGCGGGUCAAAUUUGAACUACAGCUACAUCAUAGUUUGCUAUUUAUUUUUUCCGAAAAAUCAUUUCUAGGUACAUAAGUAUCUAUUAAAUCAGAGAAAUAUCAAAAGUUUUCAAAGAUUCAACCACUAGCUAGGAACAGUCAAGCCUGCCGUUUUGACCGCAUUUUGAAACGGGCAUAAAGAAAUAAAAAAAAUCAAAAAAAUUGGAAAACCUUCGCAUUGUGUCAUUAUAUGUGACCAAGUUUCCAGGAAAAAUAAUAAACUUGUAAUACGGAAAUUAUUUUAGAAAAAUGUUCUCAUAAAUGAGCUAUAAUGUGUGAAGAUUCAUGGAUUUCAACCCAAACGCUCAAUCUCAUGGCCACAUUCAUGGUAUAGUUUGUUCAAAUGAUCUCAUAUUGUGCACAAGGGUGCAUCUUGGAAUUCCAAACAAUGUUGCCGAAGGGAGUUUUCAUUUUCUUUGCACGGAAAAUUCAUUUUCCAUUUUUCGAGUUCCCGAAAUGAGGUUUUUUUGUGAAGGACCCACCAUAUAUUUGUUGCUAAGUUGUACCAAAUCAUUUUUAUAAAAUACUAGGACAUAUUUAAUGCACAGUUGACAAAAUGGUUGGGUGUCAAAAUUUUUGAUCCACCUCUGGUGAAAAAGACAAAGUCCCGCCGAUUCAGUUGGAAGCAGGUCAAAUUUGAACUGCAGUUGCCUCAUAGUUUGCUCUUUAUUUUUUCCAAAAAUCAUUUCUAGGUAAAUAAGUAUCUAUUUAAUCAGAGAAGCACCAAAAGUUUUCCAAGAUUCAACCACUAGCUAGGAACGGUCAUGCCCGCCGUUUUGACCGCAUUUUGAAACGGGCAUGAAAAAUUCAAAAAAAAACAAAAAAUGGAAAACCUUCGCGUUGUGUCUUUAUAUGUGGCCAAGUUACCAGAAAAAAUAAUAAACUUGUAAUACGAUAAUUCCUUUCAAAAAUGUUCUCAUAAACGAGCUAUCAUGUGUGGAGAUCAAUGGCAUUCAAACCAAAUGAUCAAUCUUAUGGCCACAUUCAUGACAUAGUUUGUUAAAAUGAUCUCAUAUAGUGCACAAGGGUGCAUAUUGGAAUGGCAAACAAUGUUGCCUAAGGAAGUUUUCAUUUUCUUUGAACGAAAAAAUCAUUUUCCAUUUUUCGAGAGCCCAAAAUGAGGUUUUUUUGUGAAGGACCUACUAUAUAUUUGUUGCAAAAUUGUACCAAAUCAUUUUUCUAAAAUAUUAGGACAUAUUUAAUGCACAGAUGACCAAAUGAUUGGGUGUCAAAAGAUUUGAUCCACCUCUGGUGAAAAAGACAAACUUUUGUCGAUUCAGCACGAAGCGGGUCAAAUUUGAACUACAGCUGCCUCAUAGUUCGCUCUUUAUUUUCACCAAAAAUCAUUUUUAUGUACAUAAGUAUCUAUUUAAUCAGAGAAACACCAAAAAAAUACAAGAUUCAACCACUAGCUAUGAACGGUCAUUCCCGCCGUUUUGACCGCAUUUUGAAACGGGCAUAAAAAUUCAAAACAUAUCAAAAAAUUGGAAAACCUUUGCAUUGUGUCAUUAUAUGUGACCAAGUUUCCAGGAAAAAUAAUAAACUUGUAAUAAGAAAAUUAUUUUAGAAAAGUGUUCUCAUAAAUGAGCUAUCAUGUGUGAAGAUUCAUGGAUUUCAACCCAAACGCUCAAUCUCAUGGCCACAUUCAUGGCAUAGUUUGUUCAAAUGAUCUCAUAUUGUGCACAAGGGUGCAUCUUGGAAUUCCAAACAAUGUUGCCAAAGGGAGUUUUCAUUUUCUUUGCACGGAAAAUUCAUUUUCCAUUUUUCGAGUGCCCAAAAUGAGGUUUUUUUGUGAAGGACCUACCAUAUAUUUGUUGCAAAAUUAUACCAAAUCAUUUUUAUAAAAUACUAGGACAUAUUUAAUGCACAAUGGACAAAAUGGUUGGGUGUCAAAAGUUUUGAUCCACCUCUGGUGAAAAAAAUUCCCGCCGAUUCAGCUGGAAGCGGGUCAAAUUUGAACUACAGCUACCUCAUAGUUUGCUAUUUAUUUUUCCAAAAAUCAUUUCUAGGUACAUAAGUAUCUAUUAAAUCAGAGAAACAUCAAAAGUUUUCCAAGAUUCAACCACCAGCUAGGAACGGUCAAGCCUGCCGUUUUGACCGCAUUUUGAAACGGGCAUAAAAAUUAAAAAAAAAUUGGAAAACCUUCGCAUUGUGUCAUUAUAUGUGACCAAGUUUCCAGGAAAAAUAAUAAACUUGUAAUACGGAAAUUAUUUUAGAAAAUGUUCUCAUAAAUGAGCUAUCAUGUGUGAAGAUUCAUGGAUUUCAACCCAAACGCUCAAUCUCAUGGCCACAUUCAUGGUAUAGUUUGUUCAAAUGAUCUCAUAUUGUGCACAAGGGUGCAUCUUGGAAUUCCAAACAAUGUUGCCAAAGGGAGUUUUCAUUUUCUUUGCACGGAAAAUUUAUUUUCCUUUUUUUGAGUUCCCGAAAUGAGGUUUUUUUGUGAAGG